CCAAUUCCCAUAUAACAUCUGGCACCUCCACCAUAAAGUUUUGAGCUAUGUCAAGAACCUCAAGCUUUUCCAAGCACCCCAACGACUGUGGAAGCCCUUUUAUGUAAUUAUUUCUCAGCCCCAAAUAUUUUAAUUCCAUCAAUGUGUUGAUAGUUUCUGGUAAAAACUUAAACCCAAAAUCUUCCAGGUCAAGUAUCUUAAGUUGUUCAAAGCUCUUCCAAUAAGAUGGACUAGCAUCAAAGUAGCCACCGCCGUGGAAGAAGAGAGAAACAAGAUGCUUAUCUGAUCCGUGGAGUAGUUGAACUUGUCUCUGCUACAAAUGAUAACACGAUGAUGACCAGGACUCUCAGAGGGCCGAUUAUUUCCAUUGUUCCUUAAGAUCUCGAAACCUAGUUUCUCCUCUGCCUUUUGGAUGGAUAGCAUGUGUAGCACAACAUUCAUACGAUACUUUGUUGCCUUGUCAUUGACAUCAAUAACAGAUUCAUUAACUAAAACCUCUAACUUUCCUCCACACUGAUCUUCUGAACCCUGUAGUACUCCUCCUACAACCCAAAUCUGUGUCAACUUUUCUUUCCUCAAAGUUGUAUUUUCCUUAAAGAAGGCCAUACACAAGAAACAUGGCUGCACUUCGGGAUCUAGUUGAUGAUAAACCGGUUCCAAUAACUUCAAUGUUGAACUGAAAUCAACGGAUUCAAGAAGUUGUUCCCAUUCACUCCCACUUGAGAUUUUCUUUUCCACUAACUGCUUUCCCACCUCUUUUAUAGCUAAUGGCAGACCGCCGCAUUUUCUCAACAUUUGUUUUCCCUUGUACUCCAAUGACUUUGGAAAUUUGUGCUCACCCGUCAGCUUAUUGCCAUGGUUUAUUGUUUUCAGAAACAAUUGCCAGCUCUUCUUAGGAUCCAAGUAUGUCAUCUUAUAACAUCUUCAGAAAAUACAUGUAUGUCGACAUGUGUCGUGUGACUUGUGAGAAGCAAUCUACUCCCAUUGUCUGCUUACAAAAAAAGAACAGUCGUCAGAAGGUUAUUGAGUCAAGAAAGUUUAUAUUGUUAGAUUCAUGUAUUAUUUUAAAAUCUAAAGUUAGCGCAACACGACUAGAUCAUAAGCAGACAGAAGAUGAUCAUACAUACAUUCUUGUGGAAUAGCAUUCAAGAAAGACUUCAAGCGCAUUUGUUUGGGCACGUUGUCGAGAACUAUAAGAUAUCGCUUUCCUUGCAGGUGUUGGGAAAGCAUAUCUUGGAGGCUUCGGUUGUCCAUAUUCUCCAAUAAGGAAGAUGUAUGGAGAUUCUGAGGAUCUUCGACCUGUUGUAUUAGUUUGAUAAAUAGCUCUUUAACAGUGAAGUAAGUAGAAUUAGAUACCCAAACACGAGUCUCGUAUCGCUCAAUGACGGUAGCAUGGUUGAAUAUCUCUCUGGCAAGAGUUGUCUUCCAGUACCAGACAUCCCUUUGAUAAGAACAGUCGUUCUAGUACCACCAAUAAUCCUUUUGCGAAUCAGAAAUUCCACAUCUUCUUCCAAGCCCACCAAUGGAUAUUUGUCAUCUUCAACAUUUUCUGAUGAUCUCAUCUUGGACUCAUCAUCUCCCAUUUUAAGCAUCUCUUUUUUGAUCUCUCCCAUCCAACUAUGGAUGGACCUAAAGCUCCAAUUAUAGCUUUUUUGUUGUUUGAAAAGGUUGAGGGCAUCGUCAGCCAUGUCAACAAGGUCACAUACUAAAAAUUGAGGCUUCUUCCCUCUUCCAAUUUCUUAUCCCUCACAAUAUCCACAAUCUCUCUCAUCUCUUUAAUUACUCUUUCCAUAUCCUCUUUUAUGUCCUUAUUUGUUUCCCUUUCAUCUCGAUAACUAAUGUCAAGCUUGUGUAUCACCGAUAAGAGGAGAGCCUUCGACAUGUUUCUGCUUCCACAAACUGCCGUAAUACCCAAUUUAACAACAUUAGUAGCUAGGAAAUAACACAUUAAUUCCAACAAAGAAAAAGAAAGAGAAAUGUUAGAGAAGGGAGAGAAAAGAAAAGUAGAGAGUAAAGAGGAGAGAAAAAUAUUUUUGAAAUUUUAAACAAAGAAAUUUAAUAAUCGCGUAGUGGUGUAUUCAAAUCUAAGACGUUUGAUCUUAGCCUUAGGCACUAACCACUUUACUGUUAGGCAAAAACACGCACACGAGAUAAAUUUCAUGUUGUGUAUUUGUUAUUGCAUAUUAUUGCAAAGGAAAACUGAAGUGACAAUACUCAAAAUCUGAUUUUAUAUAAGAAUCGUGUUGAUUUCAAAAAUAAUAAUAAUAAUUAAGUGAUCUAACUUGGAAAUAUAAACGAUUAACUUUUGUCAACUUAUCUUUUAUAUUUUAAUUAGUAUUUAUCUAAUUCCAAUUAAUUUUGCUGAAUUUUGGGUUUAGAGUUUAGGAUAUAAUAACACGUGGGUAUUUGGUAUAUUCUUUAAAAUAAAGUAAUAUAUUUACAUUUAAAAAAUGUUAGGUAUUUAAUAUUAGAAUAACAAUAAUAUGAUAUUACAUUAUUGCCCUUAAAAUAAAUUAAAGACUAUGGAUAUAUUAGGCAAAUCUAAUUUUAUAAAAC
rnacentral:lncRNA from 1 species